rnacentral:rRNA from 1 species
AGUGAACGCUGGCGGUAGGCCUAACACAUGCAAGUCGAACGGCAGCACAGUAAGAGCUUGCUCUUACGGGUGGCGAGUGGCGGACGGGUGAGGAAUACAUCGGAAUCUACUUUUUCGUGGGGGAUAACGUAGGGAAACUUACGCUAAUACCGCAUACGACCUACGGGUGAAAGCAGGGGAUCUUCGGACCUUGCGCGAUUGAAUGAGCCGAUGUCGGAUUAGCUAGUUGGCGGGGUAAAGGCCCACCAAGGCGACGAUCCGUAGCUGGUCUGAGAGGAUGAUCAGCCACACUGGAACUGAGGCACGGUCCAGACUCCUACGGGAGGCAGCAGUGGGGAAUAUUGGACAAUGGGCGCAAGCCUGAUCCAGCCAUACCGCGUGGGUGAAGAAGGCCUUCGGGUUGCAAAGCCCUUUUGUUGGGAAAGAAAAGCAGCAGGUUAAUACCCCGCUGUUCUGACGGUACCCAAAGAAUAAGCACCGGCUAACUUCGUG